GUACCAACAGCACAUAAAACGGGAACGAUACAGAGAAGAUUAGCGUGGCCCCUGCGCAAGGAUGACACACAACUUGCUGAAGAGUUCCACAUUUUU
rnacentral:snRNA from 1 species